AGUGAACGCUGGCGGUAGGCCUAACACAUGCAAGUCGAACGGCAGCACAGUAAGAGCUUGCUCUUACGGGUGGCGAGUGGCGGACGGGUGAGGAAUACAUCGGAAUCUACUUUUUCGUGGGGGAUAACGUAGGGAAACUUACGCUAAUACCGCAUACGACCUACGGGUGAAAGCAGGGGAUCUUCGGACCUUGCGCGAUUGAAUGAGCCGAUGUCGGAUUAGCUGGUUGGCGGGGUAAAGGCCCACCAAGGCGACGAUCCGUAGCUGGACUGAGAGGCUGAUCGGCCACACUGGAAGUGAGACACGGUCCAGAGUCCUACGGGAGGCAGCAGUGGGGAAUAUUGGACAAUGGGCGCAAGCAUGAUCCAGCCAUACCGCGUGGGUGAAGAAGGCCUUCGGGUUGUAAAGCCCUUUUGUUGGGAAAGAAAAGCAGCAGGUUAAUACCCCGCUGUUCUGACGGUACCCAAAGAAUAAGCACCGGCUAACUUCGUG
rnacentral:rRNA from 1 species